CUGUCAUCCCGCUUCCCUUUAAACCUAUGUCUUCAAAACGCCUGGUCUGCCCACCUUCAUCAACCUUGUCUCAUCUUCUCUGAACAUCAGUCUGAAGGAGGACACCUUGCUCACCUCACGUGGCGUCUGAAGGACGUCUGACCACCCACACAGCAGGUCGAAAUGGUCAAGGCUGAGACAGGCAUCAACAGAGAUACUGUGCUCUGAAUCUAAGCAUCCAAACAGAGGCAUCUGGAAGCCUAAAAGUGUGGCUUUGAAAUGGUUAAAGCUUGUUUCAGGUUUUGAAUUGCCAAAGACCAAUGUGUGCUAUAAUGGAAGGGCUUGUGCUAUGAACUUUCUGUCUGAAAAGCAAUCCCUCAAACAAUUGUAUUAUCUGCAUGGUCUUCCAGCAUUCAGAAAAAAACAUUUUAGGUCUUGUACCCAUCACAGAAUAUUUCUAUGUCACUUGUCUCAGCAGUGGUAAACGGAGCAUGUAUAUGAAAAAUAAACCACGGCUCUUUCAAAA